rnacentral:rRNA from 1 species
GUCGAACGGCAGCACGGGAGCAAUCCUGGUGGCGAGUGGCGAACGGGUGAGUAAUAUAUCGGAACGUGCCCAGUCGUGGGGGAUAACGUAGCGAAAGCUACGCUAAUACCGCAUACGAUCUACGGAUGAAAGCGGGGGAUCGCAAGACCUCGCGCGAUUGGAGCGGCCGAUAUCAGAUUAGCUAGUUGGUGGGGUAAAAGCCCACCAAGGCGACGAUCUGUAGCUGGUCUGAGAGGACGACCAGCCACACUGGAACUGAGACACGGUCCAGACUCCUACGGGAGGCAGCAGUGGGGAAUUUUGGACAAUGGGCGAAAGCCUGGUCCAGCAAUGCCGCGUGCAGGACGAAGGCCUUCGGGUUGUAAACUGCUUUUGUACGGAACGAAACGGUCUCUUCUAAUACAGGGGGCUAAUGACGGUACCGUAAGAAUAAGCACCGGCUAACUACGUGCCAGCAGCCGCGGUAAUACGUAGGGUGCAAGCGUUAAUCGGAAUUACUGGGCGUAAAGCGUGCGCAGGCGGUUAUAUAAGACAGAUGUGAAAUCCCCGGGCUCAACCUGGGACCUGCAUUUGUGACUGUAUAGCUAGAGUACGGUAGAGGGGGAUGGAAUUCCGCGUGUAGCAGUGAAAUGCGUAGAUAUGCGGAGGAACACCGAUGGCGAAGGCAAUCCCCUGGACCUGUACUGACGCUCAUGCACGA